ACCAUCUCCAACAUCACAGGUCAUGAAAGCAGUGCAGCAGAUUACCAGGAUUGUGGUUUGGCUACGAGUUUUGUAAUGGAUUUUCGCCAUGGGAAUCGAAUCUAAAAGUUGGGUUCUCUACAAGCAAGGAAAGAAGCUAAUCUGAGUGAGUUACACAGAGAAACUCAAGCGCACAGGAAGAUCAACACCUUGCGGCAUGGAACGCUGGAGAACUGCUCGAAGAAUCUUAGAAGUAAUAAAAGUGAAGAAAUAGGGGGGGAAAGACAUGGAGUAGUAAUAUUAUUUCUAGCGAACGAUUCCUUUCAUAAAUAAAGUAACGAGAAAUUCUUGGGUUCCUCUAAGUUCACCAACCAAUAAUGUUUGAGUAUUUGAUAUUUGAUAUCUUUUAUAAAAGGAAACAAAAUUGAAUAUCCAAAUUAGAUUAUAUUUUUAAAAUAAAAUAAUAAAAA